rnacentral:rRNA from 1 species
UACAGAGGGGGCAAGCGUUGUUCGGAAUUACUGGGCGUAAAGGGCGCGUAGGCGGCCUGCUAAGUCGAACGUGAAAUCCCCGGGCUCAACCCGGGAACUGCGUCCGAUACUGGCAGGCUUGAAUCCGGGAGAGGGAUGCGGAAUUCCAGGUGUAGCGGUGAAAUGCGUAGAUAUCUGGAGGAACACCGGUGGCGAAGGCGGCAUCCUGGACCGGCAUUGACGCUGGGGCGCGAAAGCCAGGGGAGCAAACGGG